rnacentral:rRNA from 1 species
AGAUUGAACGCUGGCGGCAUGCUUUACACAUGCAAGUCGAACGGUAACAGGCCGCAAGGUGCUGACGAGUGGCGAACGGGUGAGUAAUGCAUCGGAACGUGCCCAGUCGUGGGGGAUAACGCAGCGAAAGCUGUGCUAAUACCGCAUACGAUCUAUGGAUGAAAGCGGGGGACCGAAAGGCCUCGCGCGAUUGGAGCGGCCGAUGUCAGAUUAGCUAGUUGGUGGGGUAAAGGCCCACCAAGGCGACGAUCUGUAGCUGGUCUGAGAGGACGACCAGCCACACUGGAACUGAGACACGGUCCAGACUCCUACGGGAGGCAGCAGUGGGGAAUUUUGGACAAUGGGCGCAAGCCUGAUCCAGCAAUGCCGCGUGCAGGAAGAAGGCCUUCGGUGUAACGUGUCUUUAGUACGGAACGAAACGGUCUAGGUUAAUACCGUCGGACUAAUGACGGUACCGUAAG